CAUUAAUUUUGUGUUGGUGAUCUCAGUAUGUAAACACAUCCUGCACGGUAUAGAAUUGAAAAGAAAGCUUCCACCUUUUCCAGAGUCAAGAUCCAUUAUGAAAACAGGACUGUAUUGUAAAACAAAUCUUUAUACUAUAAAGUCAUGAAAUUAAUACUUGAAUUGGUAGUUUCCAUAUUAUUAUUUAAAUGGGAAUAAUGGGGUGACAUGCACAAACCCAUUUCUUGAAAUUCUAAAUGCCCUUACAAAUUAUUUGUUUCAUAGUAAAGUUGUCAUUAUCAUGCAACUCUUUUUUCCUUUCUAAAACUCAUAUAAUAAAGAAUGAUGUUUAAUUCCAACCACCUUCAAACCUAUGACUUGAAAGUUCUAAUUCUACUUUGUUACAUUAGCUAAGAGCCUAAGAUUAAAAUGCUUCUAAGAAUUAGUGAAAGAUCUCAUGUUAGCGAACUACCGAGAAAUCUUUUCCCGCUGAUAUGGCUGGAUUAGUUCAUCUUUUUUGAGGAAUAAUGAGUAAUAUUUUUUUCUUGGAUUUCUUUAAAAUGAGUACUGUAUCCGAAGCUGAAUCUUAUAGUUGAACUUUGAUAUAGUUCAUUAAAAAAGAAAAUGAAGAAGAAAAGAUAAGUACCAUACUGAAUACACAUAUCAGACAUUUUUUAUGGGCAUAAGACAAUGCAGGUAUCAAGGAAAAGCUUUGAUUAUGGCUUGGUGGUAUUAUGCAUAUACUGUUUAUGUAGUUUAAUGUAUUGUGCAUUGAUCUGUUUCUGACUCAACAACAUGUCCAUGUCCAAGUUUCGUAUAAAAAUGCACAAUUCACGGGCUACAAAAAAAAAUUUCUUGGUUCACUGACUUCCUUUUACCUAAAUAGUUCGCUAUCAUCUUGAUGAGGACCCAAAGACUUUGAAGGUGUUUCCCAUUCCACUUCAUGAUGCCAGUGGCUCAACUCUACAUUAUGACCGGCUUAGCAUUUCACCUGAUGGAGAGAUAUUGGCAGCAACCCAUGGUUCCACAUUGCAUGUACGCAUACAUCUUCACUCACCUUUAAUCAUUCACCGUGCUUUCAAAUUGCAGGAUGAUUUGCAGGCUUUCUAGUCAAUAGCAUCUCCACCUACAAAGCCAAUGAGAGUUGCAUGUGUGAGGCUUUCUGGAAGGAGGGAUGAUUGUGAUGGAUUUGAGAAGCCUGCUUAAUUGUUUUUACUUGUUUGCUCCGGCGAGUAUAUCUGCAUCUAAACCUGGUACUGUAGACAAGGCCCAUCUAAGGCUUACUUCAGCAAAAGCUGUCUUGCACCUGUCAAAGUACUGGGAUAAAAAAAUACCGAUUGAUGUCUCUUAUUCGACUUUAAGAUUAUCACAGUAGCAACUGAUUUUAUCUUGGCAUGCAGGAUGUCUACCCACAAGCUAGGAAGCUAUUCCUCAGCAAAGUACACCAAUAUAUAAAGAAAGGCUUCUGGAUGCGAAGUAUGCUUGUGGCUUCUUAUUCAACAUAACUGAAUCCCAUCCACUUGAGUUUAAAGAGGCAAGCAUUUCUUAUAAAUUAUUCUAUAGAGCACUCACUUCACGAAGUUUCUCUAUGCUGCAUUUCACUGAAUGCUGUGCCUUUUCUAGCCUAUAUGAAUGGGGUUGAAGUUUCUUAUACUGGCUAAUGUCUUUCUAUCUUUGUCAUAUUGAUUCCACAGGACAAACAUAACUUAAUGGAGGUUGUUCAAAUGUGUUACUAACUGAAGGCAUGGCAACUUUCUAUGUAACCUGAUGUGAACUUGUCCUCUUAUCCAAAAAAUAUUCUCACAUAUUUGGUCCAUGCACUUGCACAUCAUCCUUCAUUUCCUAAUGUUGAUGAAUGCAAGGAAGUUAAAGCAUUUGAGUCAAUUUACUGGUGGGAAGGGUGGGUGUAUAAUGUGGCUCCCAUCUGAUGUUGCUGCUUUAUUUUUCAGCUGAGCAAUUACUCUUCACUGGAAGGUGUUCUGUACUACAAGCCUCAUUUUGAACAGCUUUUCGAGGAAACUGGCAGUUUCAACAAGAGCUUCCAGUCACCUGCAAAGUCGGCAGAGAAGUUGACCCCGGAACUGGUAUGCUAAAACCAUUAGACCUAUCCAUGAAUUUGUGUGGCAAGAUUUUCUUUUGUUAGAAAAAUAAUACAUAAAAGGUUUCCUAAUUAGUCCCCUCUUUUGCAAACGAGGGAAACCUUCACAUUUGAGGAAACUGAUUUCCUUUUUUAAAGUUACUUUUUUAUUUUCUCAAUCUUAUCUUUUGCAAAUGAGAGAACUGUGACUCAGUUACUUUUCUAUUUUCUCAAUAUCAUCUCUGUG